AGAGGGAUGAAGAAUUAAUCAACGCCGCCGAGUGGGUGCCCUGCCCCCAACUGUUUAUUUUUCCCAGCCGCCCGAUUUGUCGCCUCUCCUCUCCCUCCUCCCUGUGUCGCCUUGCUCUUGACUUCCCUCUCUCUCCCUCCCUCCUCUCACUACCGGCAUCGGUAAAGUACGCGUCUUUACUCAACUUGGAGGGAGGAAGAAGAAGAAGCCAGAGUCCAUCAAGGACUGAUGGAGGGCUAAGCUUCAGAAUCCACACCCCCUCCCCUCUUGCUGCUACCAGUUUCA
rnacentral:misc_RNA from 1 species